rnacentral:rRNA from 1 species
AUGAACGCUGGCGGCGUGCCUAAUACAUGCAAGUCGAGCGAACAGAUAAGGAGCUUGCUCCUUUGACGUUAGCGGUGGACGGGUGAGUAACACGUGGGUAACCUACCUAUAAGACUGGAAUAACUCCGGGAAACCGGGGCUAAUGCCGGAUAACAUUUAGAACCGCAUGGUUCUAAAGUGAAAGAUGGUUUUGCUAUCACUUAUAGAUGGACCCGCGCCGUAUUAGCUAGUUGGUAAGGUAACGGCUUACCAAGGCAACGAUACGUAGCCGACCUGAGAGGGUGAUCGGCCACACUGGAACUGAGACACGGUCCAGACUCCUACGGGAGGCAGCAGUAGGGAAUCUUCCGCAAUGGGCGAAAGCCUGACGGAGCAACGCCGCGUGAGUGAUGAAGGUCUUCGGAUCGUAAAACUCUGUUAUUAGGGAAGAACAAAUGUGUAAGUAACUGUGCACGUCUUGACGGUACCUAAUCAGAAAGCCACGGCUAACUACGUG